CUACGGGCUGCUCCAGGCGAGAAAACUUUGCAAUGUGCGAAAGCACGACAAGGUUAAUCCGAGUGGUUUGUGCUAAACGAACCUUUUGACAGUCCUAGAAACACUGUUGAAUAAGGGGUGGGCAAGUUCUGGUGUCAGCCGCCGCGGUAAAACCAGCACCUCAAGUGGUUAGGAUGAUUAUUGGGCCUAAAGCAUCCGUAGCCGGCUCUGUAAGUUUUCGGUUAAAUCUGUACGCUCAACGUACAGGCUGCCGGGAAUACUGCAGAGCUAGGGAGUGGGAGAGGUAGACGGUACUCGGUAGGAAGGGGUAAAAUCCUUUGAUCUAUUGAUGACCACCUGUGGCGAAGGCGGUCUACCAGAACACGUCCGACGGUGAGGGAAGAAAGCUGGGGGAGCAAACCGGAUUAGAUACCUGGGUAGUC
rnacentral:rRNA from 1 species